rnacentral:rRNA from 1 species
GACAGAGGGUGCAAGCGUUGUUCGGAGUUACUGGGCGUAAAGGGUGCGUAGGCGGUUGUUCAAGUUUGGUGUGAAAUCUCCCGGCUCAACUGGGAGGGUGCGCCGAAUACUGAAUGACUAGAGUGCGGGAGAGGAGAGUGGAAUUCCUGGUGUAGUGGUGAAAUACGUAGAUAUCAGGAGGAAUACCGGUGGCGAAGGCGGCUCUCUGGACCAAUAUUGACGCUGAGAAACGAAAGUGCGGGGAUCAAACAGG